GAAGAUCCUGCUGCGAGACACACUCUCACGUGGAAUCAACGCAACCUGGGCCUCUUGCACUUACUCCAAAACAAUUAAGCUUUGCAAUGAAGCUGCAAUGAGGUUGUAAACAUGUCCUUGUUGGAACUGCCUGAGUCUGUCCGGUGCCAUUCCUGGAUGUAUUAUUUCCACUGUGAAAGGGUAGACAGGUUCUCCAAUAAGAAAAAAACAUUUUGGGAUCAAGUGAUUGGUUCAGUUAUAAUCAGUUUCAUGAAUAUUCAAUUAGGAUUUUCAUUUUUUUUUUUUAACAUACUUUCUGCAUCUAAGGCUCAGAAACCAAAAUGCCAGAAUCAACUAUGGUAGUAUUUCCACUAAGCCACAAAUGGAUAACUCCAAACAUAUCAUGUGCCACAGCCUUUUAAACAUUUUUAUCGUUGAAUGUGUAAAUAGUAAUGUUUUGAAGGUUUCCAGAUUUCUCUCCAGAUUGUGCUAGUUAACUUCAUUCUGCCGUCAUAGAACAAUUAAACAGAAGCAUUUGGGAGAGGAAUAAAAAAAGUGCCAGGGAGGAACAUUGUAAG
rnacentral:lncRNA from 1 species